rnacentral:sRNA from 1 species
CGCUUCUGCCCUUCCUGGGCGUUUCCUCCCUAAUGACUGGCCCGGCCCGCAAAGGCCGGGCCUUCUUUUUUGGCGCG